GAUGAACGCUGGCGGCGUGCCUAAUACAUGCAAGUCGAGCGAACAGACGAGGAGCUUGCUCCUCUGACGUUAGCGGCGGACGGGUGAGUAACACGUGGAUAACCUACCUAUAAGACUGGGAUAACUUCGGGAAACCGGAGCUAAUACCGGAUAAUAUAUUGAACCGCAUGGUUCAAUAGUGAAAGACGGUUUCGCUGUCACUCAUAGAUGGAUCCGCGCCGCAUUAGCUAGUUGGUAAGGUAACGGCUUACCAAGGCAACGAUGCGUAGCCGACCUGAGAGGGUGAUCGGCCACACUGGAACUGAGACACGGUCCAGACUCCUACGGGAGGCAGCAGUAGGGAAUCUUCCGCAAUGGGCGAAAGCUUGACGGAGCAACGCCGCGUGAGUGAUGAAGGUCUUCGGAUCGUAAAACUCUGUUAUUAGGGAAGAACAAAUGUGUAAGUAACUAUGCACGUCUUGACGGUACCUAAUCAGAAAGCCACGGCUAACUACGUG
rnacentral:rRNA from 1 species